ACAAGGAGAGGUCAGCUGUAGCGGCUUUCGGCAAAGUCCCUCCUCUUUGUACUUCAUCAGGAGUUUUUUGGAAAGUGAGAGUCCUUCCUGCUCCAGACUUUGUCCUGCUGGAGUGGGAGGCCGCCUGACUACCAGCUUCACUAAGCGUGGAGAGGCAGGGAGCCCCUGAAGCCCACCCUCCUGCCCGAGAUUCCCCAGCAUCCAACCAGUACAUUCUUGUUGAAGCUGGUUUGUUUUGGGAUGCUUGCCGCUCCCCACCCGCGCUGAAAUUGUAUAGUAAGAAAAGAAACAGGAGCUGCGUGUUAGAAAGUAGUUAUCCUAACUAGGGCAAACACUCUCUAGUGCCAUAAUAAGGAUCUUUGGUUACUGUAAGUCAAGCAUCCCAGAGGGGCUCUGAUGCCACGCCCGGUUCAAGUCGGAGAACAGGACACCCCGAAGGAUCCAGCUAAAUAAAACUUCAGCGUCAGUUGACGAUAGAAAUGGAGAGUUGUUUUAAAGACUGGAAGUCCAAGAUGAAGAUGUCGGCAGGUUUGGUUUCUUCUGAGGCCUCUCUCUUUGGCUUGCAGAUGGCUGUCUUCCGGCUGUGUCCUCACAUGGCCUUUUCUCAGGACACACACAUCUUUGGUGUCUCUUCCUCUUUUUAUAAGGACGCUAGUCCUAUUGGGUUAGAGCCCCAAUUCAAUAGGUUCCUAUUGGAUUUGACUUAUUGGCCCUUUGACUUCAUUUAACUUUAAUUACCUCUUUAAAGGCCCCAUCUCCAAAUACAGUCACAUUGUAGGAAAGGAUUUCAACUUACGAAUUUUGCGAGGGACACAAUCAGUUCAUAACAGUAGUCUUUUGUGUCUGACUUCUAUGACUCAGCAUGUCUAUGUGAUUUAUCCAUGCCAUGGCAUCUAUCAGUAGCUUGUUCCUUUUAAUUGCUGAGUAGAAGUCCAUUGUAUGAAUAUAUCACAGUUUAUCCUUUUAUCUGUUGAUGGACUUUGGGCUAUUUCUAGUUUUUUACUAUUAUGAAUAAAACUCCUGUAAACAUCCUA